rnacentral:rRNA from 1 species
GAUGAACGCUAGCUACAGGCUUAACACAUGCAAGUCGAGGGGCAGCAUGGUCUUAGCUUGCUAAGGCCGAUGGCGACCGGCGCACGGGUGAGUAACACGUAUCCAACCUGCCGUCUACUCUUGGACAGCCUUCUGAAAGGAAGAUUAAUACAAGAUGGCAUCAUGAGUCCACAUGUUCACAUGAUUAAAGGUAUUCCGGUAGACGAUGGGGAUGCGUUCCAUUAGAUAGUAGGCGGGGUAACGGCCCACCUAGUCUUCGAUGGAUAGGGGUUCUGAGAGGAAGGUCCCCCACAUUGGAACUGAGACACGGUCCAAACUCCUACGGGAGGCAGCAGUGAGGAAUAUUGGUCAAUGGGCGAGAGCCUGAACCAGCCAAGUAGCGUGAAGGAUGACUGCCCUAUGGGUUGUAAACUUCUUUUAUAAAGGAAUAAAGUCGGGUAUGGAUACCCGUUUGCAUGUACUUUAUGAAUA